rnacentral:lncRNA from 1 species
AGGCUAUAUUCAAUAUAAUUCAUUUAGCCUAUUUUGUUUUUCAGAGAAAAACAAUUCUCAGAGAUAACUUGGUGAUUGGAGCUGUGAACAGUGGUGGAUGGUGGAUUCUGGGGAUGCUGGGAUGUAUUCUCUGAGCACCUCUGUACCAUCUACAUUUUACUAACUUUAAACAGAAAAUGAUGUGUUAGUCAGAGCAUCUGGGUAGCGUGAGAACAGAACUGUAAGUCUACAGGGUGGUUUGAGUCAGGAGGAGAAGUGUGAAGUGACAUUAAAACAUCAUGCUUUCACUUCUUCUGUUCUGCUGUUACUAAUGCACUGGGGCAAAACUUGGUAAAGUAACACACAUGACCCGACCAGCAGUCACAACUUCUUAAUCAUGGCAUUGUCUCUCUGUGAUGUACAGGACCUGUUGGUGUGGAUACACAGGGAUCUGCAAAUUAAGAUAUCAUGAAAGUUUCAGGAUAACGAGAUCCAUUGACACCAAUUACCGUGGAUCAUGAACCAAUUGGACUACAUUAUCUAUGGAUGUAAUAUUUCAUCAUCAUUCUUUAUCGGACACUGUUCUAUGGUCCUUUUACCACUUUUCCAGACCAUGUUUUCAGGUUUGACAUUACUGUACACUCACCGGCCACGUUAUUAGGUACACCAAUCUAGUACCGGGUAGGACUCCCUUUUGCCUCCACAACAGCCCGAGUUAUUCACGGUGUUGUACAUUAGGAGAUGCCCUUCUCCACACCACUGUUUUAAAUGGCUGUAAUUUGGGCAUUUGUGGCCUUUCUGUUAGCUUGAAUGAGUCUGGACACUCUCCUCUGACCUUUCUCAUUAACAAGGUGUUUUUGCCCACAGAACUGCCGCUCGCUGAAUGUGUUUUGUUUAUCGCACCAUUCUCUGUAAACUCUAGAGACUAGUGUGUAAAAAUCCCAGGAGGGCAGCUGUUUCUGAGAUGCUGGAACCACCAUGUGUGGCACCAACAAACAUACCACGGUCAAAGUUGCUGAGAUUACGCAUCUUGCCCAUUCUAAUGUUUGGUCGAACAACAACUAAAGCUCUCUACUCUAUAUGUUGAGUUGCAGGCAGCCACAUGAUUCGCUGUUCGAAGGAGCAGGCUAUUUGCAUUAACAUGCAGGUGUACCUAAUAAAGUGGCCAGUGUGUGUAUGUAUGCAGGCCCUUGUAAUUGUUUUCCCAAUACUGACAACUCGUUACUGAUGAUUGAUUUCACAUUGUGGUCUGAGUAUAUAGUGAAAUGAGUGGUAUCCACCUACAACAACAUAGCGAUAACAUGGGGCCAGCAGGUGAUCCAGGUCACAAUAGAGGUCAAGCAGUGGGAGGAGGAAGACGAGGAAGACGUAGUGGUCAAAGGAAUGGCAGGGGACAAGCACCGCUUCUGAGAGGUGGUCGUGGGCCUCGUUUGAGAGGUGUGAGGGAACAUGGUAGAGGACAAGACCAGGGACCAAGACAUCUGCAGCAAAAGCAAAGAGUGUCCAAUGAAAUCCGAGCAAUAGUUGUAGACCAUGUGGUAAAUCAUGGCAAAACAAUGACUGAGGCAGCUACAAUGAUUCCACCAAACCUCAGAAGAUCAAUCGUGGCCUCAAUCAUGAGAACUUUCCACAAUGAGAACUGAAUUGAGACUUGGCCAAAUAGUGGACGCAGAGGCAAAAUUCUGACUGACCAACAAGAGCGGGCUGUGGUCAAUUUAGUUCGGGCCAGAAAUUAUAAUCGCCUUACAGAAAUUCGGCAGAACAUCAUGGACUAUGAUGACAUGUUCAACAAUGUGGAAGCCAUAAGUUUGCAGACUAUUGCACGCAUGCUGAAAAGGCACCAGGCGUCUCUAAAACAGCUAUGCCGUGUGCCUUUUGAAAGAAAUGCAGACAGAGUGAAGCAACUGAGGACUGAAGGGUGAUGGAUCUGGAUGCUGAUGAAAACCUUCACAAAUUCCUCUUUUUGGAUGAGGCAGGCUUCAACCUGGCCAAGACAAGGAGGAAUUUCAUUGGCCAGAGGGCAACCAUCCAAGUACCUGGACAACGUGGGGCCAACAUCACCAUGUGUGCGGCUAUAUCGGAAGAUGGUGUGGUGGGACACAGACCUCGCAUUGGCUCAUAUAAUGCAGCUCUCCUUGUGUAACCUUCUUGAUGAGCUAAAUCAGGUCUGUAGAGAUGAUGGCGUGACCUAUGUCAUUGCGUGGGACAAUGUCAGGUUCCACCAUGCUCAAAUGGUGCAAGCAUGGUUUCAGGCCCAUCCACAAUUUACCACCCUGUACUUACCCCCAUACUCUCCUUUCCUUAACCCGAUUGAGGAAUUUUUCUCCACAUGGAGGCGGAAGGUAUAUGAUAGGCGCCCUCACGAACAAGCCACCCUUCUCCAGGCCAUGGAUGACACAUGCAAUGACAUCACGGCAGACCAGUGUCAGGCCUGGAUUCACCAUGCCCGAAGAUUCUUCCCAAGAUGCUUGGCCAAUGAAAACAUCCAUUGUGAUGUGGAUACGAACCUGUGGCCAAAUCCACAAUUGAUGGAAAUAUAGAAGUACAGUAAUCAAUACUUUGUUUUGCUUUUUACAGUAAGCCAGUUGACAUUUUACUGUAGUGUUUUUCUUUUUUGUAGCUAAUUAUUUUUGCUUUGAUUCAAGGAAACCUAUGUUGUGAUUUUAUUGUAUUUCAUCAAUAAAUUUCAGAUUUUGUUCAAUGAUUCCACUGUGUCUGUAGUAUUCUCUCUACUAGUCCUUUUACAGUGAAGUAUUUACGUGUAGUACCAUAAUGAAACACGUAUCACAUAUUUUGUACUACAAUAUUUUAUGAUUGUAUGAACAACUACACAGUGAAACUAUCGGCAUCUUGUGUGUGGGUGAUCUAAAUGAAUGUUCCUAUGGUAUUUCAUGAUAAUCGUUAUUUGAACCAAUGCAAGGUUUCUUUAAAGAUAUGAAGGCACAAUCCAUCUUUUUGAACAUUGGACAGCCUGUGUUACAAGUGAUGACCGUUUUGAGUUUUAUGUCUAGAGUUUUGAAAAAUGACCACAAGAUUCUGAAAUUAGUGCCAAAGGGAUUGUAAAAAACUGUAAAUAGCCAUCACUAAUUGGCUUCCACCCGGUUACGCAACCCUGCACCUUAGAGGCUGCUGCCCUAUAUACAUAUACUUGGAGUCACUGGCCACUUUAAACAUGGAACACUAGUCACUUUAAUAAUGUUUGAAUAGUGUUUACAUACUGCUUUACUCAUCUCAUAUGUAUAUACUGUAAUCUAUUGUACUGUAUUUUAGUUAAUGCCACUCCAACAUUGCUAAUUAUAUAUUUCUUAAUUACAUUAUUUUACUUUUAGAUGAGUGUGUAUUGUUGUGAAUUGUUAGAUAUUACUUUACUCUUGGAGCUAGAAACACAAGCCUUUCUCUACGCAGGGAUCCGGGGCCAUACUUCCCUUUUAGCUUUUUGCGUCUUUUCCCCACUAAAUGCUAAAUUGAACAUUUCUUUUGGAAAAGACAAUCACUCUAUUACUAAAAUAAUUGACUGUACUUUCUUCUAUUCUGUCACCUGUGCUAUAAACUAAUUUGUGUCACUUCACUCCUUCCAUAAUGCAAAAUAAAAUAUCUGUGGAGUCAAAAUCGAUAAAAACAGACACCUUAAAAUCACACUUCCGUCAAUAAAUGUCUCCCAUAUUCACA